CGCGCCGCCCGCGCUCACCUGCAUUUCCUUAACGAGCCACUUGAUGGCUGCGGCGGCGCGGCCGCUCCGGGCAGGACCGGCUGGGGGGUGCGGCGGGCUCCUGAGGCAACAGAGAACCGAGUCCCGGUAACCAGACCCGGCCUCGACCCCGGGCUGGGCGCUGAGAGCACCUGCCGGCAACCGGGUGCCGAGCAGCGUCGGGCCAGAUGCGCGCUUCACCAUGAGUCCGAGACUCUCCACUCUGGGUUUCCUUGAAGGGAGGCUGGCGGAAGCUUUUAACAAGAUGCAGCUGAGCGUGUCGAUAUCUCACAUCGUUUUACUGUUGUAUGGGCUGCUCAGCUACUUGAGGCUCCUCACUACUUCAGACAAGCCCUGGCACCUUCCAGAGACAGUGUUCUCAGGCUUGAUUUACACUCACUGUUGCAACCAUCCUUUGGUGCCCUCUGGAAAAACAUGGGACAUUGCAAGUCAAGGAAGAGUGGGUGUUGAACUGAAGUCCCUUCCUGCUCCUUCCCUCCAAAAGCACAGUAUUAUGAUGGUACAUUCUUAAACAAGUUUCAAAUGAGAUAUUGAAUGAUCGACUGCUGUACUCAGAAGAGAAAUAAGACAAGAAAUAUGACUUAAACAAGCAAACAAACAUGUCUUCUAGAAAACAUGAAAAGACCCACUUUGAGGGGCAUCCUCUUCAGGGGUCCUCUCCAGACUCCCCGUGUUGCUCAGCACUGCAGUCCCGUGCUCCUUUCCACAUGCUCCCUGCCGUCCAGUCCAUGCCUGCACUGUUUCACAGUCGUUUAUUGUGUUGCAAAAGGGACAGCUACAAAUGCUGAAAGAGUGCAGAGACUCAGAGUCCGAGAGCAAGUGGGGGAUGUGAGGGAAGCAUAGAGAUAAGAUUUAAGACAUUUAUUAAAGGAUGAUCUCCGGAGCGACUACAAUAUAUGGAGAAGCCAGAAAAGAGAGAAAACACUGUAGUGGAGUGUUGCUGAGGGAAAUGACGCAGGGCCUCCUCACGGUUCCUUUGAAAUGUUUGCCAUUAGAACCAGAAAUGUAUUUUUCUUUCUUCUUUUUAAACCUUUCAUUACUUUGGACAUUCAAAACUCACUGUGUGAAGCUUGGAAGUGGGAAAUGGGUGGCAUGUACAUGCAUUUAUAGGGGUUUGGGCUCUCAUUUAUAUAUAAUUCCUAAGUUAUUCUUACAGUGUACCGACUUGAUUUUUUUAUCCAGAUAUGACAUAUAAGUUUCAAGCGUAUUACAUACAUUUUCAUUUAUAAUUUCAUGGAUUGUGUUUCUAAAUGAUAUUUUAGCUAAAUUUCUGGUAAUAAAAUAUAAUACUUCAAUUGAAAAUUUACCUAAAUGAUAUAUUUCCAAAUAUUUCGUGAUGUGUGUAUUAUGGGAUUUUCAAAAUGUAAGUGUUCAGACAUAAUUAUCAAGAUAUCAAAAAACAAAGUGGGGUUUUGUGGCACUGCCAUAAACCUGUGCAAACGUAUUCAUUUUUGUUCCAUGAUAGAAAAAGUUUUGAAUCUGAACAAAGGCUAAAUUAUAUUCUGACAAUCAAAUUGGUAUUUUGGGCAUUUUUAUUUCCUAAAGUUUUACCUCAGUCUCACUUGUUGAGUCCCGUGAAAAACUUUGAUGCCACACACCUAGGAAAACAUUCGCUUGUGGGGCACCAGGCAGGCUGGCCUUCCUUAGUUGCCUUGCAGUUGUGAUCCACAGCAUCCGAAGCAGUGCAGCCCCUUUGUAGCCUUCUGUAGAUUAUGUGGACCAAACCUGUACAUCUUUUGGUACAGCAGGAAGGAAGGCUCCACAUUUUAUAGGUUUAACCAAAACAAAUAUUUUGGGGGUUUGUUUUAUAUGAAAUAGAUAAUGUUUAUUUAGAAGAUACCAGAACCUAAAUCUCCAAUGCUUGGACACAAACAAUUCAGAAGUCUUAGAGCGUGUAAUUAGAUUUAAAGUGUAGCAUUUAAUAAAAUUCAUUGAUAAAUUUCAACCAACAUCUUAACACAGAUUGUUCAACAACAUCUAGAUGUGAACAACAGGAAUAAUUUCUGGACUUUUGAAAAGCCAUAAUUGUCAAUGAAAUAUUAAAUUAAGAAAAUCCUUAGGGGCUUAGUAGUUAAAAAGCAAUUACUGCUCUUCCAGAGUAGCUGUGUUCAACCCCUAACAUCCACAUGCUGUCUCACAACCAUCUCUAACUCUAGUUCCAGUAAAUCUAAUGCCCUUUGCAGAUGCCACAUAAACCUACAAUGUAGAAAACAAUGUCAAAAGAAGUUCUCUAAAAAUUCUGUAAAUUUCUCUAAGCAUGUUUUAAUGGCAUAACCAAAUACAGGAAAUUAAAUAUGUUAAUAGCCGACCAAUUGCAUUGCUUGGGUCCUUGAAAAUACAGAUCAGUAACAAAAUAGGUAACUGGAAUAAUAUGAAAGAAAUCUCACUUAUAUUGUGAGAAUUCUUUCAGAAGCCUGGACUAGCAAUUAUUCUAUCAAGGAAACUAGAAAAGGCCAUGAUGUGGUAGAGAGAAACAGCCUCCAGACCUCUAAGCAAGGUUUUCUGUAAGUGGUAACAAAGUUUCGUGAGCCAGAAAAACAAACACAAUUUGUGGGCUUAUAUAGCAGAGUGUCCUUUUGGAGAUUAGUAAAGUAAAACAUAUUUUAAAAAUACCAGGAUGAAUGCAGGAGGUAUUACCUUAAGAAAUCUUCAAAAGUCAACAGAAAACAAGCCUAGGAGACAGUGUUUGUACCCCAAGAUUAGGAGUGUUUGGAAGCAGUAGUAUGAAGGGGAGAUGAAUAAAAUGGAAAGGGCAUUUAAACUGAGAAGGGAGAAUUUUGUGAAGAGGAAGAAAUAACACAAAGCCACUAAGGAUUUAUAAAAAUGCCACAGGGAAACGUAUAUAUUAUGCUUUUAUUUCACUUACAGAUGGUAUGUGAUGAAGUUAUGCCAUUUGCGAUAAUACACCCACCACGACCCUAGACCAUCUAACAAUUGUUGAUCAAGGGAAACCUCUCCUUGGACUCCUGGUCAAGGGAGUUCAAGAAAUACCAAAAUAAUUUGUGCUAAUGACUUUGUCCUUCACUGUCUCACAGAAAUUGAAUAUAAGACCCUAUUGCUGAAGAUUCCACAUCAGUGGCUAUAGGACGGAGCUGACCUGAAAGCCUCUUCUUGGAGGACUAGCUCUUGUAGUAUCUGAAUGUUCUUUAUAAGCUGCCAAGAGAAAAAGUAGCAUUCCUAUCCAUCUAUGUGGUCGAAGAAAAACAAGAUAUCCCUAAGUGUGAAUAAUGGCACUUAUAUAUUGGGAGUCACGGAUAGCUGCCUAAUUGGGCUUAAUGUCCACUCAAUAAGUGAGAAUUCAUGUCUGAUUCUCUAAAGCCAUGUCUGGUGACAUAUGAAACCUAGAGAAGUUACGACUUUCAGUUUCCUAAAUAUUCUGAAUAUUUAUCCUUAUACCCAAAAUGAGUGUAGCUCUCACCUCUCAACAGCAAAGCCUUUUGCACUGGAAAACAUUACAGCAAGCAAUGGCUGGUCGAGACUCAGAGAACAACACAGUAGGGUGCCUAACUCAAUCUACAUCUACAACAAAAUCCUUCCACCUGAGGCUUAGAGAACAGGGCAGAAGGAUGUAGCAGUCAGAGUGCCAGGAAUCUGCUGUCAGGCAAGGGAAAGCUGAACCCAUGAAAUCUCAAAAAUUAUGAUCGCUUAAUCACAACUUUCACAACGACAAUACCAGUUGACAUGUCAACAUGGAUGAGGUAUUCCUGUCAGAUGAAGAGCUGUGACAACUAAUGACUUACGAGGAAAGAGAAUCAGUCUUCUAUAAGGAAAGAGUCGCAUAAUUGGUUCUAAAAUGUUAUGCAGCUUUCAAUACUAAAUAUAUACACAUAGGAGCAACACUAAAUGGACUCAGCCGUGUGUGAGUGAGUGCGUGUGUAUUUGUGCAUGUAUGCAGGUAAGGAGGUUAUGAUGAAUGCAAGAGGGGAAGGCUGAGAUGGAAGAUGGAGUAGAAAUUAUGUAAAUACAGUAUUCAUGAUGUUCUCAAACUGAACCUUUCAAAGACAACAUACUCUUGGGGAGAGGAACAAAACUGAAAACAGACUAUACUAUGAAAAUACAUUCUUCUGAGGAGGAGGGUGCCAUAAAAAACUAAACAGAUAUAAAUCAAGUUUAGGGAAACUGAGAAAUGAGUAGCAGUUUAUUUUAUAAUUAGGAAAAUUCACUUGAAAGCUGGAGUCCUAAUGCUGGGAAUUACUAUUGAAUACCAAGUUGUAAUUAAUAUGUGCCUAUUUCUCAAAAUAGUUUUACAUUAUUAAGUGCAGUAACCCAAACUCAGAAAGACAAAUGCCAUGUGUUUUCUCUCAUAUAUAGAUGGUAGACUUUUUAGAUUUGUGUUUAUAUAUAUAUGUGGGGAUGAUGUAAAAGCAUAGAUCAUGAAGCUAGAAUGGUGGAGCCAUAGGAGGGUGAAAGUUUACAGAUCACAGCAAGGAAACCCAGGUCAAAGAAUGCAUGAAAAGGGAAAGAAGAAUAUGUAAUCGGGACACCUUCUGUGGGGGGAGGAGUAUAAAAGGGCAGGGGCCAGAGGAGAGGAUCCAUAAAAUCAAGCUAUGUGUAGAAAUGCAGUAAUAAAUUCCACUGAUUUGCAUUCUAGUAAACUGUAAAACGAACAGUAUUUAAUGACAGAAAUGUACCCUUGCAACCAUGUUAGUUAAGGUGCAAUAAAUGUGUUUCUGCAA